rnacentral:lncRNA from 1 species
AAAAGAUGCAAGUACAAAGUGUCAAUAUAUCUUUCUAAUUUAGGAGAUGGCAGUUGAAAGGUGAUGGCUGCAGUUCCCUAGUGGUCUAGGAUUCUAAGCAUUACUUAGCCUUUCCUUGACUCUGCAUGUGUCUGACCAGGUUCCAAGUCUGGCCCAUUCCCAACCAAAUCGUUCUUUACCUGUAGGGUGAAACGCUAACAUUUGCUGAGCACAUCAGUGCAGGGCAGAGGCUUAUGAUGCAAUGGAUCUUGUGCUCUGCUGAUUUUAAAUACAGAUAGUCUCAGGCCCCCAUAACUUUAUUAUUGAUUAUUUCUUUGCAUUCAUUUAUUCACGCUGCUUCCAUAACAUGCCAGGAACUAUGCUAGGCACCAUGGGGGCAUGCAGUCUCCCUGAAAUUAACCUUGCUUUCUCCUAUUUGAUGGGCAUUUCUUGCAGGCAGAAUCAGGUUUUAAACUUCUUCUGAGUUCUCCAUGGUACUUUGCAUGGCUCUGGCCAUAGCCAGGAACUUCUCAGGAAAUUGUGUUGAAACCUCUC